GGAGGUGAAAGGGGUCUGGUGGCCCUCCUCGUCUUCAAAACGAGUGGGAUGGGUUUUCUCGUCUGGUGGGUUCGAUUCCUGCCGCCUCCGCCA
rnacentral:tRNA from 3 species